CAGUUAUUAUUAUCACUACUGCAAGGAGGCGUGUCCUCAAAUGCGUCAUAAUUUGUGGUGGUUUCGAUUCUCAGUUAAAGCCGUUAAACUUAAUCAAUUCACGUCGCUAAUUUCUCAAGGACAUCAGGCACUGACGUUACUCGUGCCCUUGAGAAAGAAUGAACAUUCUGUUUCCUUAAAAUAUCCAAAGGUCAGAGAAGUAUCUUCUUUGUUUUCAACAAUGAGUGCAAGACAGUGCAAAAAUGAUCCAAACAGAUUCUGUUAUAUCUGUGGGGAAUUGACUUUUGCUAAAGAAAAGUGCAGUAUUACACGCCAUAUCAAGAAAAUAUACAAGGCGUACUUCGAUUGUUACUUAGAAGACCAGGAUAAGUCAUGGGCUCCUCAUGUGUGUUGCCUUACAUGUGUGAAGACAUUAAAUGCCCGGUAUGCAGGAAAAAAUGUUGACAUGAAGUUUGGUGUGCCAAUGAUUUAGCGUGAGCAGAAAGAUCACUCUAAUGAUUGCUAUUUCUGUCACCAUGACUUUACAGGCUGUACUACAACAAAGAAAGAGAAACACAUUGUUUACCCAAUCAGCAAUGCACCCAGUAGAGCACUCAGAAAAUUUACCUGUGCCCAAACCUCCAGAUCAAGAAAUGCAGAGUUCCAGCAAUGCUGAUGAACAUUCCAGUGGUGAAUGUGUGGAGCCCAAUGAUCCAGAAAGCAAGAAUAAACCAAUACCAUUUUCUCAAGAGACUCUAAAUGACUUGUGCAGGGAUCUCUAUUGACCAAAGAGAAAAGUGAGUUUCUGGCAUCAAGGCUUCAAGAACGUAAUCUUCUUGAGAAAGGAGUGAAGAUAACACUGUACAGAAAAUGUACAGAGGAUCUGCUUGCAUUAUUCACCAUGAAGGAUGACUUAUGCUUUUGUAAUGACAUCACUGAACUUUUUGAGCAACUGGAAAUACCAUAUAAUAAAACCAACUGGCGACUUUUCAUAGAUGCAUCCAAGGACAGCAUCAAAGCUGUUCUGCUACACAAUGGUAACACUCUGCCUUCUGUUCCCAUAACUUAUAGCACAACCAUGAAAGAAUCAUAUGAAAUCUGAAAGCAAUUCUAACAAGCAUGCAGUAUGAUGACCAUACCUGGUAUAUUUGUGCAUAUUUUAGGGUUGUGGCCAUGCUUCCUGGCCUUCAGUUUUGCUAUACUAAAUUUUGCUGCUUCCUGUGCUUAUGGAAUUCCAGAACAAGCGCUGAACAUUAUGUACACAAGGAUUGGCCGGUCCAAGAUGAAAUUGAGCAAGGAAAACACAUCAUGCACAAACCACUUGUGAAAAAGGAUAGAAUUUUUUUACCACCUUUGCAUAUUAAAUUGGUUUGUUUAAGCAAUUUGUGAAAGCCUUGGACAAGGAAUCCUCCGCAUUUGCAUAUCUUGCAGAAAAGUUCCUUCCCUGAGUCAAGCUAAAAUUAAAGAAGGUUUCUUCAUUGGUCCCCAAAUUCAAAAAAUUGUACUUGAUGAAACCUUCAUCACACAUCUCAAGAGAAAAGAGAAGCUUGCCUUUGAGUCAUUCAAGAAAGUUUGCGACAACUUCCUGGGCAACCAUCGUUCAGAAGACUAUGUGCAAGCUGUGAAUGAUCUGCUGAGUCAUUAUCAUGAUAUGGGAUGUAACAUGUUUCUAAAAGUUCAUGGGCUUCACUCUCAUUUGGAUGUUUUUGCAGAAAAUAUUGGUGAUGUGAGUGAUGAACAUGGCGAAAUUUUCCACCAGGAUAUUUCAGUGAUGGAACAAUGAUUCAAAGGAAAAUGGAACCCUGGCAUGCUGGCAGACUACUGCUGGGGAAUAAAAAAAGAUCACACUCCGCACAAGAGGCUUAGAAGGACAAAAGUUGUUGAAACUGACAUGUGUGCUUUUAAUUCAUAACCAAUAUAUGUUUUGUUAUACCAACUAAA